CGCGCGCCCACCGCCGGCUGCCUGCCGCACGCCGCCGCCCGCCCGCCGCUGCCGCGGCUUGCCCCCGCCCGUGCACGGAUCUCGGCACUCGGACCGCGCAGCGCGGCCUUCAUCCUCCUAGUCGUGGGUCCCCGCCUCCCCUGCUCGCCCGCCUCCGCGGCCGUCCGUGGCUCUCCCCAGCUCGCCGGCCGCCGGCGGCCUGAAGGGAGCCUGGACGUCGCGCCUGCGCCCCCAUCACCCCCUCCCCGGCGGCAGCGCCUGCGCAGAUCUAUGCGGGUCGUGCAGGGUCUGCUGCCCUCCUGUCCGCAACGGAGGCAGCACGGCAACGAUUGGCUCCACAAGCUGAGGAUCUCCUUUCUCUCCUCUUUUUAUUUGUUCAUUCUAAUAUUUGCUUAACUCAUGGAGUGAAUCACCCUUAAUUUCAUAAGACUAGAUCUAAUUCCUGACUUUUUCAAUAGCUACCAGUUCAUAGUUUUGGAGCUUCACUUUAUUUUCACAUGCUAGAUUGGUCUUGGUCUGGUUGCAAUCGAUGGUAUUUCUCUGCAAUAGUAUAAGGCUGCAAGCAGAAUGAUAUGUUGAAAUAGUUUGGUCUGUUUAACUAAAGAAAGCUCUAUUUUGCGUGACAGUACCGUGAUGCAGUUUUAUUUCAGAGUAGCAGAGGGUGCUUUUCUCCUGUCUUGCAAAGUCCUUUGAUAGAUACGAUUUUAUACAGUACUAUAAUGUAUAAGUUGCCAUUUGGUUAGACUACUCUAACAGAUGCGGUUAGCCAUGUAAAAUGUCAGUUCCAUGCUGCAACAUCGAUAGUUUUCAGUAGCUGGUUUGCUACUAUAGGUUUUUAUUUGAUCGUGAUACUCUCAUUUUAGGCCCUGUUUAGUCCCCCACCCAAAAAAUUUUAGGCCUUAGAAUUCAGACCGUAGCCCUUUUAUUUGAUCAACUCUUAACUUGGCACAUGUUUGUUCAUAACUGAUUGAUAUGAGUCUGAGAUUUAGGCCUUGUUCAGUUCGCAAAAAGUGUGGUUUUUGGCUACUGUAGCACUUACGUUUUUAUUUGAAAAACAUUGUCCAAUCACGGAGUAAUUAGGCUCAAAAGAUUCAUCUCACAAAUUACAGGUAAACUGUGCAAUUAGUUUUUAUUUUCGUUUAUAUUUAAUACUCCAUGCAUAAGACCAAAGAUUCGAUGUGACGGAGAAUCUUGAAAAUUUUUGCGAACUAAACAAGGCCUUAGUACAGAGCUAGUCUAUGAGUUCAGCUAUAUUUUUUUAUGCAAGUCUAUGUAUUCUGUUUGUCCUAUACCGUGUUUUCUUUAUCUUUUUUACCUCAACAGAUGAUGCCUCAUGUAGAGAGAACCAAAUGAUUGUUCAAGUGAAUACAGAUGAUGAACUAAAUGUAUGACGCAACUCUCAGGUGUCCGAUUUUGAGUUACCUGUUUUACUAGCAUCAAUCGGGGGCGGCUUCGAACCAUGUCGAAGGGUCACCGGCAUCAUACAUCGGGUCAUCCCUACCUGGACCGUGGUCAGGAUCGCACGCUGGAGCGUCCCAACCCUCGCCGGCAUCGCAUACUAGACCAUCGCCGUAAGCCGUCUUCGGAGUUAUUUUUAUGUAUUAAACUUGUGAACUUGAAAUAAUGUGUAAUUUUGAACGUGUGGUUUGUAAUAUAUCGUGGAUUUUGUAUAAAUUUGUUCGUUUGUGAUAUAUAAAUGUAGCUUGUGAUAUAUUA